rnacentral:rRNA from 1 species
UUGAACGCUGGCGGCGUGCCUAAUACAUGCAAGUCGAGCGAACAGAUGAGGAGCUUGCUCCUCUGACGUUAGCGGCGGACGGGUGAGUAACACGUGGAUAACCUACCUAUAAGACUGGGAUAACUUCGGGAAACCGGAGCUAAUACCGGAUAAUAUAUUGAACCGCAUGGUUCAAUAGUGAAAGACGGUUUUGCUGUCACUUAUAGAUGGAUCCGCGCCGCAUUAGCUAGUUGGUAAGGUAACGGCUUACCAAGGCAACGAUGCGUAGCCGACCUGAGAGGGUGAUCGGCCACACUGGAACUGAGACACGGUCCAGACUCCUACGGGAGGCAGCAGUAGGGAAUCUUCCGCAAUGGGCGAAAGCCUGACGGAGCAACGCCGCGUGAGUGAUGAAGGUCUUCGGAUCGUAAAACUCUGUUAUUAGGGAAGAACAAAUGUGUAAGUAACUAUGCACGUCUUGACGGUACCUAAUCAGAAAGCCACGGCUAACUACGUG